rnacentral:rRNA from 1 species
UGGCUCAGAUUGAACGCUGGCGGCAGGCUUAACACAUGCAAGUCGAACGAUGACUCUCUAGCUUGCUAGRGAUGAUUAGUGGCGGACGGGUGAGUAACAUUUAGGAAUCUACCUAGUAGUGGGGGAUAGCUCGGGGAAACUCGAAUUAAUACCGCAUACGACCUACGGGUGAAAGGGGGCGCAAGCUCUUGCUAUUAGAUGAGCCUAAAUCAGAUUAGCUAGUUGGUGGGGUAAAGGCCCACCAAGGCGACGAUCUGUAACUGGUCUGAGAGGAUGAUCAGUCACACCGGAACUGAGACACGGUCCGGACUCCUACGGGAGGCAGCAGUGGGGAAUAUUGGACAAUGGGGGCAACCCUGAUCCAGCCAUGCCGCGUGUGUGAAGAAGGCCUUUUGGUUGUAAAGCACUUUAAGCAGGGAGGAGAGGCUAAUGGUUAAUACCCAUUAGAUUAGACGUA